CAUACAUGCAGGGGCUUCCCUGGGGAUUUCCUCAGGGACAAUCCCGGGGAAGGGUGGAGACCACCUCUUCUGGAAGGAGAUGACCUCUGAGUCUGUGGUCCAAUCUCCUGGGCUCAGGAAACUGGAAGCUGAAAGAACACCCGUAUUAUAUUACACCUCGUGAUUCCAGAUGGAGGGGAAGGCUUGACAGAAUGGACCUAAGGUCUCAUUGCAAGAGGCAGCCUGAUUUCUACCAAGAACCCUUCAAUCUCUCAGCUGAUGACCCUCUGCCUUCUGGAAGAUGUAUAUGUAAUUUGACACCAGGAUUCUUCUUUUAAAAGGUGCCUGACAUAUGAUGAGCAUCAGUAAAAGCUGGCUGCUAUGAUUCAACACCACUAGAGGAAGAACUUACAAAAAUGAAGACUGUGAAAACUUUGAACAAAGGAAGUGAGAGAACCUGUGACACCCUUUCUGCAGAAAUUCUUGGAUGUCGGGGUGCCUGGCUGGCUCAGUUGGAUGAGUACCCAACUCUUGAUUUCGGCUCCGGUGAUGAUCUCAGGUCAUGGAGUCAAGCCCUCCGUCAGGCUCUUCAUUCAGUGCAGUCUGCUUUCCCUCCAUCCUUCCCCUCAUCA